GUUCUUCCUUCAGCAGCACAUAUACUAAAAUUGGAAGGAUACACAGAAGAUUACCAUGGCCCCUGCACAAGAAUGACACUCAAAUUCAUAAAGCAUUCUAUAUUUUU
ensembl:snRNA U6 U6 spliceosomal RNA